AGAAACAUAUAAAAGAUUUUGAGCCAAGGCCAAGUGGCACAAGGUAUGACGGUGAUGGUUAUAAAAGCGAGAAGCUACGAGUGUACUCUGAGUUUGAACCUAGGCCAAGUGCUACAAAGUAUGAUGGUGAUGGUGAAGGUUAUAAGACUAUUAAACUACCAGGGAAUGACGAAUUUGAACCCAUACCAAGUGUUACAAGGUAUGAUGGUGAUGGUUAUAAGAGUAUGAAACUAUCGGGGAAUGAUGAGUUUGAACCCAGACCAAGUGUUACAAGGUAUGACGGUGACGGUUAUCAGAGUACAAAACUAUCGGUGAAUAAUGAGUUUGAACCUAUACCAAGUGUUACAAAGUAUGGCGGUGAUGGUUAUAAGAAUACCAAAUUAUCGGUGAAUAGUGAGUUUGAACCCAUACCAAGUGUUACAAGUUAUGGCAGUGAUGGCUAUAAGAGUAUGAAACUACCGGUUAAUGACGAGUUUGAACCCAGACCAAGUGCUACAAAGUAUGAUGGUGAUGGUUAUCAGAGUACAAAACUAUCGGUGAACAGUGAGUUUGAACCCAUACCAAGUGUUACAAGUUAUGGCAGUGAUGGCUAUAAGAGUAUGAAACUACCGGUUAACGACGAGUUUGAACCCAGACCAAGUGCUACAAGGUAUGACAGUGAUGAUUAUAGAAAAAUGAAACUACCGAUGAACGACGAAUUUGAACCUAGACCAAGCGUUAAAAAGUAUGAUGGUGAUAAUAACAAAAGCAAGAAGCUACAUGUGAACGACGAGUUUGAACCUAGGCCAAGUGCCACAAAGUAUAAUGACUAAAUAAAAUUAAGAAUGUAGCUGCCUUUAAAGGAUAUAAUGUGCUAUAAGUGUGUCCAAUAAUAACUCUGGUGUGAUGUAUUAUGGUCUUUGAAUAAAUAAUGUAAAAUAUUCGGUGAUU
rnacentral:lncRNA from 1 species